rnacentral:rRNA from 1 species
AUUGAACGCUGGCGGCAUGCCUUACACAUGCAAGUCGAACGGUAACAGGUUAAGCUGACGAGUGGCGAACGGGUGAGUAAUGCAUCGGAACGUGCCCGGUCGUGGGGGAUAACGCAGCGAAAGCUGCGCUAAUACCGCAUACGAUCUGAGGAUGACAGCGGGGGACCGUAAGGCCUCGCGCGAUCGGAGCGGCCGAUGUCAGAUUAGGUAGUUGGUGGGGUAAAGGCCUACCAAGCCGACGAUCUGUAGCUGGUCUGAGAGGACGACCAGCCACACUGGGACUGAGACACGGCCCAGACUCCUACGGGAGGCAGCAGUGGGGAAUUUUGGACAAUGGGCGCAAGCCUGAUCCAGCAAUGCCGCGUGCAGGAAGAAGGCCUUCGGGUUGUAAACUGCUUUUGUACGGAGCGAAAAGGCUCUCUCUAAUACAGGGGGUUCAUGACGGUACCGUAAGAAUAAGCACCGGCUAACUACGUGCCAGCAGCCGCCGUAA